rnacentral:rRNA from 1 species
CGAUGAAGCCGGCGCGUGAGCGAUCCGGUGGAGAGAUCACUAGUGAGAAUGAUGACAUGAGUAGCGACAAAGAGUGUGAGAGACACUCUCGCCGAAAGUCCAAGGGUUCCUGCUUAAAGCUAAUCUGAGCAGGGUAAGCCGACCCCUAAGUCGAGGCCGAAAGGCGUAGACGAUGGGAAUCAGGUUAAUAUUCCUGAGCCAGAUGGAAGUGACGGAUCGUGAAGGUUGUUCACCCUUAUCGGAUUGGGUGGGCCGCUAAUCGGUUCCUGGAAAUAGCUCCAUCAUCAGAUCGUACCCUAAACCAACACAGGUGGACUGGUAGAGCAUACCAAGGCGCUUGAGAGAACGAUGUUGAAGGAACUCGGCAAAAUACCUCCGUAAGUUCGCGAGAAGGAGGCCCAGUUUCUACGCAAGUAUUGGCUGGGGGCACAAACCAGGGGGGGGCGACUGUUUACUAAAA